UUGAAAAUUAAAUAGUAUUUGCAACUCGGUGAAGUCACCUUGCUGGUGGCCGAGGCCUGACCACAAGAGUCUUCUAUAUGGGAUACUGUAUAGAAGGUGAGACCUAAUAAUAGGUAUUCACUUUUAAUUAAGUGCUGUGGCUGGUGUCGCAGAUGGUUCUUCGAUGUAAAUGAUGGAGUGUGUGGGGGCGACAAGAAGCUCUGCAGCAAUGCAACUCACGAUAUGAUUAAAGCCUGAGAAACUUUAAUCUACGUUCUCAAAGGAAGCCUAAGAUACUUGACUUGAUGUUCAGUAAUGAACUAUAACCACAUUCCCAGUAUAAGUAGCGAAAUGUCGUAGUAUUGGUACUCUCUAAAAAUUAACUAGUAACGAUCUGCUGAAGCUUCGUGAAAGUUGGAAGAUAAUUAAAUUCUUCCCGUUGUAUCGUUAUAAUAUAUAACCAUUCCAGAAGUAUAUUGGUCGCAACUCUAUACUCAGCCUGGCGUGAACGUGCAUGAACAACAAAUUAGAAUAACAUCUGUAGGAUGAAGGUCCGUAAAUACUAUUAAUUUAGA
rnacentral:sRNA from 12 species